ACUUGCAACCUAUACAGAAUUAAGUACGAUAACUAAUUUAAAUUACUUAAAAAAUAAUUAGGGGGUAAUUAGUAAAGCAUUUACUAGCGUGUUAACCAUCAAUUAAAUUCUCAAAAAUAUAAAUGAAAUUAUAUAUUACAUUAUUAUGAUUCCCAGUACGUUUCCACUAGUAAUUAACAGCAUGUAAACCAAACAAAACACGUGUCUUAUAUUAUAUAAAAAAAAUUAAUUUUAAAUUUUGAUUACAAAUCUAUGAUAUUGGCGGAGAAAAAAAUAACAAAGAAUAUAGUCUGUUUUGUUCAAUUAUUUCUACCACAAGUUUUAUUACAGAAAGUACAUGCCCCGAAUACAUAAUAAACGUCUAAAAUUCAAUUACCAAAUACGAAAUAAUUCGGAAUCGAAUCAAAACGUUUUUCGAAAAAAAAACCACUAUUUGAUCUACAAUCGUUGAUAUAUUAAAUAAAAUUCGUUAAAUAUUAAAUAUGAUGUACAACAAAUGUCGAGUAGGAAAGACCAUAUAUCACAAUGGACAGGUUAGCAGUAAUUUAUUUUUAUUAUGUUUACACUUUUGUUACGCAUACAAUAUGUAUAUAUGUUUCACGAAGAAAAAUUCGAUGAAUUUAUAAAAAAUAAAUCUAAGUUUCAAAUGUCAAAAACUUGCUAUAAAAAUCUGUUCAAUGUUUCUACAGAAUUCGAUAGCAAAAAUUCACCCUCGACCAGACAACAUAUUAAACAAAAGGGAUGAUUUAUCAUGCUGCUAUAUAGCUAGUGCCUAUACACGUAAUAUCAAAGAAUAGAAAGAUGGGAUAUUUUAUUUGUUUUUAUUAUUUUAUGUCAAUGAUGAAAUCAAAUUGGAAAUUGGAGUUUAACCAGAAUACAAUUUUCUUGAAGACAAUUGGUCCUUUGUGGAAGCAAUAACACAGUUUCAUAAAAAUCGAUAAAUUCAAAUCAUCGUAGUAAAAAAACAUAUUAUAAAAGUAUAGCGAUUGCAACCAUGUAAAAUUUUAAAAUCACGAUAUAGAACAACAAAAUAUGAUUUUUAUUGUGAAUUAAUAUUAUUGAUGUAACUAUU